GGGCGAGUGGCGAAAUGGCAAACGCGGCGGACUUAAAAUCCGCAGCCCUUCCGGGUUUGUGGGUUCGAAUCCCACCUCGCCCA
rnacentral:tRNA from 1 species